rnacentral:miRNA from 14 species
ACUUUAGUAAUGCUUGGUUGCUCUAUGAGUUACAAUUCUGUAGGAACUGAUUUAGAAAGGAGCAGCACAUAGAAUUCUUUUUUUUUUUAAGAUUUAUUUUAUUUAUUCCAUGUAUGUAAGUACACUGUU